GACGAACGCUGGCGGCGUGCCUAACACAUGCAAGUCGAGCGAUCUGGCACUCAAUUUCUUUUGAAAUUGAGUGCCAGAUAGCGGCGGACGGGUGAGUAACGCGUGAGGAACCUGCCUUCUACUAGGGGAUAGCCUCGGGAAACUGGGAUUAAUACCCUAUGACACCUUUAAAUCGCAUGAUUUGAAGGUUAAAGCGUUUUAGCGGUAGAAGAUGGCCUCGCGUCCCAUUAGCUAGUUGGUGAGGUAACGGCUCACCAAGGCGACGAUGGGUAGCCGGCCUGAGAGGGUGAUCGGCCACACUGGAACUGAGACACGGUCCAGACUCCUACGGGAGGCAGCAGUGGGGAAUAUUGCACAAUGGGCGAAAGCCUGAUGCAGCGACGCCGCGUGAGCGAAGAAGGCCUUCGGGUCGUAAAGCUCUGUCCUAUGGGAAGAUAAUGACGGUACCAUAGGAGGAAGCCCCGGCUAACUACGUG
rnacentral:rRNA from 1 species